rnacentral:misc_RNA from 1 species
UAACACAAAAUGUUAAAGCAAAAAACCGUGAAGCACAUAAUAUAAUUAAAAAUUUUAGAUGCAUUGUUCAGUUUCAUUUAUUAUGUCAUGCAAACUCAAAAUCUUAAUUCUCUAGUCAUCGUGUGGAUCCCAAAAGGUUAAAACAAAUUAGGUCAGCUUUUCUCUUUAUCAAAUCCCUUCUUCUUUUUUUUUUAAUUUCUUGCCUUUCCUUGCCUUUUCUCACCUCGCCUAGGUGCCUGGGCAGUGCGCGCCUGAAUGAAGUUGCCUAGUUUGCAGGCUUCCCAGGUGAGGAGCCUGGAUUUCGCCUUGCCCGGGAACCUAGGCGAGCGCCUGGGCUCACCUAGGCACCUCGUGACAACACUGGUUCUCACGCUUUUUUAUGUGGGAAUGGUUCUUUUUAUUUCUUAUGCUUUUUAUUUCUAUGUUAUUAUUAACGAAGUUUGGCAUUUGGAAACACAAAAAGUACUUGAAAUAAAUCUAUAUUUAUAUCGCAUGAAGAGAUAUUAAAGGCUGUGAUGAUGUACCAGUAGGCUUUGAUGUCAUGUUAAAUUGUUUAGACCAAUUUCUAAGUUUUUCUGAAGAAAAUAUUAGGGCACUGAAUGAUGACUGCACGUAUCAUGAUAAUGUUUUGACAAACUAAUGAUGAUAAGUUGUACUAGCAUGCCUGAAGCAGUACGGGAGAGUGGUAACAAGGCUAGAACACGUCUAAACUGUAAACAUCUUUGAAUCCAGAAAGAAAAUAAAAUCUACAGUCCAAUAGAGCUCAAAAGAACCGAAAUGUUAUUUAAUUUUACUAUCCCAAACAAGUAAAUGAGAUGCUUAUGUCUAAGAAUAGUACUUGGACAAGUUCAUUAAAAUAGGAAUCCCAAAAUUACUAGAAAUACUUAAAAUACAAGGAAACUAAAACCUAACUAAUAAAAAAUUAAAAUUACAAGAACUAAAUUAUUAGCAAUAUAAUAAUUACAAUAAAAUACUUGAGCCACUUUGUCAAUAUCUUUGUUGGAGAAGGAUAGCUUCCCAACUAUAGCCAUUUGGAAAACUCAAACUCCUACCAAGCUUGCUGUUUCACCACCCCCCCUCCCUUUCCUUUUUCUCAUCAUCACUUGGAAGCUACAUAGGGGGGUUCUUAGCUGCAAAC